GGCUCUGGGAAAGAAGGGAGGGUCGGGGGGCAGGGAGGCAAAGAGAGGCUGGGAUCAGGGAGAACAACGAGAUCCCUCUUCAGAUCCUGGGGAAGAGCCCGGUCAAGACAGAAUGAGCCACAGGUCCUCCAGCUGUGUUUGGCGGGUGAAGGGACAGGGCACUCCCACUUCUCCACGGGGGCGGAGUCUGGGUGCUCCGAUCAGGAACUGGGACCUGAAGCCGACAGAGAGGCAGGGACAGAAGGCCCACUUGAGGUGGAGAGUCUGAGAGAAGAUCUUCCCUGUACUGAACCUGCCCCCAGCUCCCCAGCUCCAGGGACCUGCAAGGAAGGGUGUCGCCGUGCCAGACAGAGCAGGGGAAUUUGGGAUCACAAGCGGCCCAGUGUUUCGUCGGUUCGAAUCCUGGGCGCGGACAUGGC